rnacentral:rRNA from 1 species
GUGAGGAAUUUUCCGCAAUGGGCGAAAGCCUGACGGAGCAAUGCCGCGUGAAGGAUGAAGGCCUAUGGGUUGUAAACUUCUUUUCUCAGAAAAGAAUUAUGACGGUAUCUGAGGAAUAAGCAUCGGCUAACUCUGUGCCAGCAGCCGCGGUAAGACAGAGGAUGCAAGCGUUAUCCGGAAUGAUUGGGCGUAAAGCGUCUGUAGGUUGUUUAAAAAGUAUUCUGUCAAAGAUUAGGGCUUAACCCUAGAUAGGCAGAAUAAACUUUUAAGCUAGAGUUUGGUAGAGGCAGAGGGAAUUCCCGGUGGAGCGGUGAAAGGCGUAGAUAUCGGGAGGAACACCAAAGGCGAAGGCACUCUGCUGGGCCAAUACUAACACUGAGAGACGAAAGCGAGGGGAGCAAAUGGGAUUAGAUACCCUAGUAGUCC